UUGGAGUGAUACGGUAGUUCAGGUGGAGGCAACAAAUUCCAUCACCACCACGAGAGAUGGAAGACUGCAUAAGUUGGACCUGCGGGGGAAGAACGACAAGAAUUGGCAAGAUUACCAUAAAGAGUAUAUCGACAUUUUGGAUUAUAGGAUGAGAUUCUUACCCAUCCACAAACCAUUUUUCUCAUUGGACACAACGGCUUGUUUGGAGUACAUGCUCUGGUGUAGAGUCACCGAUAAGGCGUAUCUAUUAUUGGUGGAGGCAAGGAGUAAGUAACUUUAUUAGAAGAGGCAACGAUGAGCAUCCCAGUAGCGUAGGUCUGAAAAAGGUGCCGCAAUAGGUUUGUCAUCGACUCCGACCCAAUAAGCGCCACCGAUGUUUACACCAUAUACCGAUCGGUUCAUUGUACUUAUUCUUAUUUAAUUCACUAACCAUGUGUUUUUUCAGAAGCACCACACUAUGCACCAUCGUAACACCCUACUUUUACCCCUUUCACAAGUACAUAUUUUAAGGCACUUCUAUCCUUAGUAUUCUACUCCCCCAUGUCGAUAGCGAUGUCGACGUAAACGCCAAGCCAAAUGUCGACGCCAGUACCGUCACUAAUGAGGGCACCGAUACCUUCAUCGAUACCAAAUUGAUGCCCUAAUCAAUGUCACUGUAUCUGGGUUUUGUGAUAUUAUAUGGUGAUUCACAGAUAGUGUCACAAAAACACACCGUGUUAUUGUUUUAUCAAGGUAGGUCAACGGCACAACCAUUUUCUCGUGGAGUGGAGGACACAUGAUAGAAGGCUAGGAUAACAUUGC
rnacentral:lncRNA from 1 species